CCUACGGGUGGCAGCAGUGAGGAAUAUUGGUCAAUGGACGAGAGUCUGAACCAGCCAAGUAGCGUGAAGGAUGACUGCCCUAUGGGUUGUAAACUUCUUUUAUAAAGGAAUAAAACGAGGCACCUGUGCCUUUUUGCAUGUACUUUAUGAAUAAGGAUCGGCUAACUCCGCGCAAGCAGCCGCUGUAAUACGGAGGAUCCGAGCGUUAACCGGCUUUAUUGGGUGUAAAGGGAGAGUAGAUGGGUUGUUAAGUCAGUUGUGAAAGUUUUCGGCGCAACCGUAAAAUUGCAAUUGAUACUGGUAGUCUUGAGUAUAGUUGAGGUAGGCGGAAUUCGUGGUGUAGCGGUAAAAUGCUUAGAUAUCACGAAGAAUACUGAUUGUGAAGGCAGCUUACUAGACUGUGACUGACAUUGAUGCUCGAAAGUGUGGGUAUCAAACAGGAUUAGAUACCCCAGUAGUC
rnacentral:rRNA from 1 species